rnacentral:rRNA from 1 species
ACCGAAUAAGCCCACGGGGUCUACGGAUCUUGCGGGAAAAGGGGGGGACUUUCGGGCCUCCUGUCUUCGGAUGAGUCCGCGUACCAUUAGCUAGUUGGUAGGGUAAUGGCCUACCAAGGCGACGAUGGUUAGCUGGUCUGAGAGGAUGAUCAGCCACACGGGAACUGAGACACGGUCCAGACUCCUACGGGAGGCAGCAGUGGGGAAUUUUGCGCAAUGGGGGAAACCCUGACGCAGCAACGCCGCGUGGGUGAUGAAGGCCUUCGGGUCGUAAAGCCCUGUCGGGAGGGAAGAAAUGAUUGAGAGCUAAUACCUCUUGGUCUUGACGGUACCUCCGAAGGAAGCACCGGCUAACUCCGUGCCAGCAGCCGCGGUAAUACGGAGGGUGCAAGCGUUGUUCGGAAUUAUUGGGCGUAAAGCGCGUGUAGGCGGUCUUUUAAGUCUGAUGUGAAAGCCCCGGGCUCAACCUGGGAAGUGCAUUGGAAACUGGGAGACUUGAGUACGGGAGAGGAGAGUGGAAUUCCUAGUGUAGGAGUGAAAUCCGUAGAUAUUAGGAGGAACACCGGUGGCGAAGGCGGCUCUCUGGACCGAUACUGACGCUGAGACGCGAAAGCGUGGGUAGCAAACAGGAUUAGAUACCCUGGUAGUCCACGCCGUAAACGAUGAGUACUAGGUGUUGCGGGUAUUGACCCCUGCAGUGCCGUAGCUAACGCAUUAAGUACUCCGCCUGGGAAGUACGGUCGCAAGACUAAAACUCAAAGGAAUUGACGGGGGCCCGCACAAGCGGUGGAACAGGUGGUUUAAUUCGACGCAACGCGCAAAACCUUACCUGGGCUUGACAUCCACGGAA